rnacentral:snRNA from 1 species
GGAUGUGAGGGUGAUCUGACUGAGACAUCUGUCACCCCAUUGAUCACCAGGGUUGAUUCGGCUGAUCUGGCUGGCUAGAUGGGUGUCCCCUUCCUCCCUCACCGCUCCAUGUGCAUCCCUCCUAAAGCUGUGCGCUCGGUCGAAGAGGAUGGCCUUCCCCUAAUAGAGACGGACCGGUCUUUGGUCGAGGGUAUACAAGUAGCUGCGCUCCUCUGCUAGAACCUCCAAACAAGCUCUCAAGAGUGAUCAAGAGUUGAAACCUGUCUUUGAGGCUUUUGUACAAAGGUUCAAUGUGCUAUAUGCCAAUUUGGGGGAGACUUUCCCCUUGGGAAAUUAUUUCACACU